UUGACCCCUUCGAAAUACAAAUAUUGUUUCAAUAAAAUAUCAGCAAGGAAAUUCAAGCUGACAAGAAAUUAUCAUUCAAAGAAGUUGUGUUAAAAGACAUUCCUCUUACAUACAAAUAAAAGUACACGCUCAGGAGAAGAAUCAUAAAGGGCAAUAAAGACAGAUAUCAAGAAGUGGUGGUCAAUAUAAUGAGAUGAAAUGAGAUAAAACAUUAACUCAACAAAGUACUCUGAACACACAUAUGACAAUAGACACUUGCGGGAAAAUUUAAAAAAAUGUGUGAUAAAGCAUUUUCUCAACAAGGUGAUUUUAACCAGCAUAUGACAAUACUCAAUGGGGAGAAGAAACAUAGAUGUGAAAUGUGUGUAAACCAUUUUCUCAACGAAGUUCUUUGAACAAGCAUAUGACAGUACACAUUGGUGACAAGAAAUAUAGAUGUGAAGUGUGUGAUAAAACAUAUUCGCACCAAAGUUCUUUGAAUGCACACAUGAGAAUACAUACUGGCGAGAAUAUUCAUCAAUGUCAAAUGUGUUACAAAGCAUUUUCUAAACAAAGUAUUCUUGUGAAACAUAUGACAAUACACACUGGUGAGAAGAAUCAUAAAUGUGAAGUUUGUAAUAAAACAUUUUCUCUACGGAGUUCUCUGUUGACACAUAUGAGAAUACACACUGGCGAGAAGAAUCAUAAAUGUGGCUUGUGUGAUAAAGCGUUUUCUACACGAGUAAAUCUUAUCGCGCAUAUGAGAAUACACACUGGUGAGAAGAAUCAUAAAUGUGAAGUGUGCUAUAAAGCUUUUUCAUGCCGAAGUAGUCUUAAAG